CCUACGGGGGGCAGCAGUGGGGAAUAUUGCGCAAUGGGGGAAACCCUGACGCAGCAACGCCGCGUGAGUGAUGAAGGCCUUAGGGUUGUAAAGCUCUGUUAUCUGGGACGAUAAUGACGGUACCAGAGGAGGAAGCCACGGCUAACUACGUGCCAGCAGCCGCGGUAAUACGUAGGUGGCGAGCGUUGUCCGGAUUUACUGGGCGUAAAGAGUGCGUAGGCGGAUGUUUAAGUGAGAUGUGAAAUACCCGAGCUCAACUUGGGUGCUGCAUUUCAAACUGGGCAUCUAGAGUGCAGGAGAGGAAAGCGGAAUUCCUAGUGUAGCGGUGAAAUGCGUAGAGAUUAGGAAGAACACCAGUGGCGAAGGCGGCUUUCUGGACUGUAACUGACGCUGAGGCACGAAAGCGUGGGGAGCAAACAGGCUUAGAUACCCUGGUAGUC
rnacentral:rRNA from 1 species